UAGCUCUCAUCUCUCUCGAAGUGUGCUCUCACGGUAAGCUCUCGCCCCUCUCUCUCUCGGUUUACCUUUCCCCAUUCAUCCCCUUCUCAUCAUCAUCUUGGCUUCUUCAAGGUGUUACGCUCGUACGUUGUAAAUCGGUGUAGGGAAAGCUUCGAAUUUACGUUUGAACUAUCCAAGAAAGGUUGAGCGGCGAUGGGGAGGACGGAUGUUGAGCAGUUAAAGUCAAAAUGCGUUUCACUUUGUUUUGGAUAAUGUCGUGUCGUCAUACCCGGCAUUAUCUGUCUCUUGAUCUUUUUCCGCUGCUUGUAAUCCGAAACAAUGUUUUCAUUUAAACUCUGGUUACUUAAACUUUUGAAAUGUCGCUACA